GCCGCGGUAAUUCCAGCUCCAAUAGCGUAUAUUAACGUUGUUGCAGUUAAAAAGCUCGUAGUUGAAGUGUGGGUGGUGCCUACUUCCAGACUUCGGUUUAGGAGUGGAUCACUACCCCCUUCCAGUAUCCAGUAGUGGGUAUUCAGUUACUUACUAUUGUGUGUUGGUCGUUUACUGUGAGAAAAUUAGAGUGUUCAAAGCAGGCGUUUGCUUGAAUAGAUUAGCAUGGAAUAAUAAUUGAAGGCUUUCGUGUUCGAUUUGAUUGGUUUGUUCAUGGAAGCAAGGUUAAAAGGAACAGUUGGGGGUAUUCAUAUUCACUAGUUAGAGGUGAAAUUCUCGGAUUUAUGGAAGAUGAACAAGUGCGAAAGCAUUUACCAAGGAUGUUUUCAUUAAUCAAGAACGAAAG
rnacentral:rRNA from 1 species